rnacentral:rRNA from 1 species
GACGAACGCUGGCGGCGUGCUUAACACAUGCAAGUCGAACGGAAAGGCCCUGCUUUUGUGGGGUGCUCGAGUGGCGAACGGGUGAGUAACACGUGAGUAACCUGCCCUUGACUUUGGGAUAACUUCAGGAAACUGGGGCUAAUACCGGAUAGGAGCUCCUGCUGCAUGGUGGGGGUUGGAAAGUUUCGGCGGUUGGGGAUGGACUCGCGGCUUAUCAGCUUGUUGGUGGGGUAGUGGCUUACCAAGGCUUUGACGGGUAGCCGGCCUGAGAGGGUGACCGGCCACCUUGGGCCUGCGAUACGGCCCAGUCUCCUACGGGAGGCAGCAGGGGGAAAUAUUGCACAAUGGGCGGAAGCCUGAUGAAGCAACGCCGCGUGCGGGAUGACGGCCUUCGGGUUGUAAACCGCUUUCGCCUGUGACGAAGCGUGAGUGACGGUAAUGGGUAAAGAAGCACCGGCUAACUACGUG